CACACCCCCUUCAUUAAUGUACUUAAGAAAAGAUUUAUGUGCAAGAACUUUUCAUUUCACUUGAUUUUACAUAAAAAAAAAAAAAUAAAAAAAAAUAAAUUCUUUUUUUAAAUUCUAUUUUACGGUGCGUUUCGCGUAUAUGCAGCGAAAGAGAACGUAAAUGUGAACGUGCCUGUUUUCCCUAAACUACAUAGACGGGAGAAUUAUAUAGAGUGUCGGCAUCGUAAAUGGUAAUCUUCGUCUGUGUCUCUAUCAAAGUCAAAGCAAGUCAGACAAGUUUAUAUUGAGAGCUUCGGUGCGACACGGCAUUUUUAUUUGGCCUAAAGACCUAAUUUCUUCUUUCUAAACUAGUGCAUCAUUACUUUAUUACAAAGGCAACAAUUAAUUAGAAAAAUAACAUAAAUAAACAAAUUAUCUUAUUUAUCCCGCUUUGAGUUCAAGUUACAAAAAAAAAAAAAAAACAAAAAAAAAAUUAAAUAAAAGAAAAGGAAUCAAUGAAAGCAAAAGUGUCUCAGAAAUUUUUAAUUCUUAACCUUUCAUUGAAAUCGAAGAAGAAGCAUAAUAAUAUCUGAAAUGCUUUUUUUUUUUUUUUUUAACGUAACGGUUGCUUGACUGCUGUGAAUGGUAUUCUUUGCGUUGUUGUUGCUGGUUUAAAAUGAUAAAAUAGAUAUGAGAAAAAGAAUACAGUGUAGUAUAAAAUAUAAAAAGUGGAAAUAAUGCACAAACGAAAGUAAAAAUUCUGAUGAGGUAAAGAAAAAGUUCUGGUUAAUAAUAAUAGUAAUAAUAAUAAUAAUAAUAAUAAUAAUAAUAAGAAUAGUAAUAAAAAUAUCAUCGGAAACGAUAUAAGCAAAUAGAGAAUAAUUCUGCAAUAUAGUAAAAUUGAAAAUAAAACUUGUACAACGGUAUUCCAUCUGAUCUAUGUGUGUAUACAUGCACAGAUAUGCAUGGUGUGUACGUAUGUUUGCAUAGGCAAAAGGCUCCAAACUAAAUUGCCCUUCGUUAAGUCAGUCAGUCGGUCGGUCGGUCGCCCCUUUGCUAGACGUUGUCGUGAUGUUCUGUUAUUAGUGCUUAUAAUAAUUUUUUUUCUCGCCUAUAAAAAUUUAAAAAAAAAAAAAAAAAAAAAAUAGCAAAAAAAAAAAAAAACCACACAAAAACAAAACAUUGCUAAAUAUUAAGCAAAAUUCUACAAUUAUUUCUACAUUGCUUUUAUCAUAUUAUUCCCACCGCUGUUCGUCAAUCUACCAUAGUUGGUAUCACAUUUGUUUCCUAUAAAUUCAUUAGUUAUGUGUGCAUGCAACUACAUGCAGAUACAUAGGCAUAUAUAUACAUAUGUAUAGCAAAAGUUUCUCAGUGCUGUGUAUUCCUGCGAAGAUAAAGAAUGAAAGAGAAAGAAAACAAUAACAAAUAACAACAAUAGUAUUGUGUAUACAUGUGUGCAUACAAACUAAUCGUAAUAUGAAAAUUGAAAGCUCUCACAUGUUGCCUUAAAUAAAGAGUGUUUACACAAAGAAAAAAACGACAAAAAAAAAA